UCCGUGCCAGCAGCCGCGGUAAUACGGAGGAGGCAAGCGUUAUCCGGAAUUAUUGGGCGUAAAGCGUCCGCAGGGGGCGCAUCAAGUCUGCUGUUAAAGGUCGGAGCUAAACUCCGGUAGAGCAGUGGAAACUGGUGCGCUAGAGGGCGACAGGGGUAGAGGGAAUUCCCAGUGUAGCGGUGAAAUGCGUAGAGAUUGGGAAGAACACCGGUGGCGAAAGCGCUCUACUGGGUCGCACCUGACCCUCAGGGACGAAAGCUAAGGUAGCGAAAGGGAUUAGAUACCCCUGUAGUCUUAGCCGUAAACGAUGGAUACUAGGCGUGGUUUGUAUCGACCCAAGCCGUGCCGAAGCUAACGCGUUAAGUAUCCCGCCUGGGGAGUACGCACGCAAGUGUGAAACUCAAAGGAAUUGACGGGGGCCCGCACAAGCGGUGGAGGAUGUGGUUUAAUUCGAUGCAACGCGAAGAACCUUACCAGGGCUUGACAUCCCGCGAAGUUUGGGGAAACUCAGACGUGCCUACGGGAACGCGGAGACAGGUGGUGCAUGGCUGUCGUCAGCUCGUGUCGUGAGAUGUUGGGUUAAGUCCCGCAACGAGCGCAACCCUCGUCCUUAGUUGCCAGCAUUAAGUUGGGCACUCUAGGGAGACUGCCGGUGACAAACCGGAGGAAGGUGAGGAUGACGUCAAGUCAGCAUGCCCCUUAUGCUCUGGGCAACACACGUCCUACAAUGGUCGGGACAAAGGGGAGCAAGCUCGCGAGAGUAAGCGAAUCCCAGCAAACUCGGCCUCAGUUCAGAUAGCAGGCUGCAACUCGCCUGCUGAAGGAGGAAUCGCUAGUA
rnacentral:rRNA from 1 species